rnacentral:rRNA from 1 species
GACGAACGCUGGCGGCGUGCUUAACACAUGCAAGUCGAACGGUGAAGCGCCUUCCUUUUUGGUGGGUGUGGAUGAGUGGCGAACGGGUGAGUAACACGUGAGUAACCUGCCCCCUUCUUCUGGAUAACCGCAUGAAAGUGUGGCUAAUACGGGAUAUUCUGGGUCUGUCGCAUGAUGGGUCUGGGAAAGAUAUUGUUUCGGUGGGGGAUGGGCUCGCGGCCUAUCAGCUUGUUGGUGGGGUGAUGGCCUACCAAGGCGGUGACGGGUAGCCGGCCUGAGAGGGUGGACGGUCACACGGGGACUGAGACACGGCCCAGACUCCUACGGGAGGCAGCAGGGGGGAAUAUUGCACAAUGGGCGCAAGCCUGAUGCAGCGACGCCGCGUGAGGGAUGGAGGCCUUCGGGUUGUGAACCUCUUUCGCCAGUGAAGCAGGCCUGCCUCGUUUGUGGGUGGGUUGACGGUAGCUGGAUAAGAAGCGCCGGCUAACUACGUG